GAUGAACGCUAGCGGCAGGCUUAACACAUGCAAGUCGAGGGGCAGCGGGGUCUUCGGACCGCCGGCGACCGGCGCACGGGUGCGUAACGCGUAUGCAACCUACCUUUCACAGGGGGAUAAUCCGGAGAAAUCUGGUCUAAUACCCCAUAACACAUUUUACGGCAUCGUAGAUUGUUGAAAUUUUCGGAGGUGAAAGAUGGGCAUGCGUGACAUUAGCUAGAUGGUGAGGUAACGGCUCACCAUGGCAACGAUGUCUAGGGGGACUGAGAGGUUAACCCCCCACACUGGUACUGAGACACGGGCCAGACUCCUACGGGAGGCAGCAGUGGGGAAUAUUGCACAAUGGGGGAAACCCUGAUGCAGCGACGCCGCGUGAAGGAAGAAGUAUUUCGGUAUGUAAACUUCUAUCAGCAGGGAAGAAAAUGACGGUACCUGACUAAGAAGCCCCGGCUAAUUACGUGCCAGCAGCCGCCGUAAUAC
rnacentral:rRNA from 1 species